GUCCAACUCAACCGGAACACGGUUGGCCGUGGAUGCAUCUCUCUUCGACGUGCCGCUACUUUCCGCCACCGAUUUCCCAUCUGAAACACGAGGAAGAGAAUCCCCCAAAAGACUAUCCGGAACAAACUCCUCUUCUUCACUCACCCAAUUUUCCUUCACCCCACACCAAGGAUCCAGAUCCGCAGAGAACUCAGAAUCGAAAUCCGAUAAGGGAAUGGCCGAACAACUAGAGCACGCCACCGCCGGAGGAGUUUGAAAGGGCCAACUAACCAUCUCGGUUAAACCAACAUCGAUCAAGACUCCUUUGACCGAAAAGGAUAAUUUUCGGUUUAGGGGUAAUAGCUCAGUGGUACUUAUUUGGAAGCAUCCGUAGUCAAGCAUGUUCAUGUUGAGAGUAUCGCUACUUAGGCGUACGAAACGACCUAGGUGAUUUCCCAACAAAGUAAAAACCUC
rnacentral:lncRNA from 1 species